UUUCAGAGGGUUCUGACAUACAGCUAGGAAUUGUCAUGGGAAAGGUGCCAUUAGUGUUAGGUACAGUUGAUUUUGAAGCCUCAAUAUAUGUUUUUCUUGAAUAUCAUUCACUGCUCCUAUUUGUAUUAAAUCUUGAUGUCAAAGUAUUCCGUUGGUUGAUUAAUUCAUUAUUUUUUGUUGAUUUUCUUUAAAAGAAUUAAACACACACAC
rnacentral:misc_RNA from 1 species